rnacentral:rRNA from 1 species
UUGACCUCAAAUCAGGUAGGACUACCCGCUGAACUUAAGCAUAUCAAUAACGGAGGA